rnacentral:rRNA from 1 species
CCAGACUCCUACGGGAGGCAGCAGUGAGGAAUAUUGGUCAAUGGGCGCAAGCCUGACCCAGCAACGCCGCGUGAAGGAAGAGGGCCCUCGGGUUGUAAACUUCUUUUGUCAGGGACGAAGAAAGUGACGGUACCUGACGAAUAAGCCACGGCUAACUACGUGCCAGCAGCCGCGGUAAUACGUAGGUGGCAAGCGUUAUCCGGAUUUACUGGGUGUAAAGGGCGUGUAGGCGGGAAAGCAAGUCAGAUGUGAAAACCACGGGCUCAACCUGUGGCCUGCAUUUGAAACUGUUUUUCUUGAGUACUGGAGAGGCAGACGGAAUUCCUAGUGUAGCGGUGAAAUGCGUAGAUAUUAGGAGGAACACCAGUGGCGAAGGCGGUCUGCUGGGCAAUAACUGACGCUGAGGCGCGAAAGCGUGGGGAGCAAACAGGAUUAGAUACCCCCGUAC